GCUAAAAGCCUCCACGUGGAAAGAAAUCCCCAAAUGUUACAAAUGGAGAUUAACGACCAGAAAGCAGCCCGAGCAGCAGCGAAAUGCGAAAUCUCCCUCUUCUGCGUUCCCUGCUGUUGAUUUAUAUUUUAUUUUUAACUACAAUCUCACAGAGACGCAGCGCCGGGAAAUCACGACCAGAUGUACUCAAAGAGGCUCUCUGCUUUCGGCUAACAUCUCUUUUAAACACAUCAAGAAAAAGAAAGGAUUGGAAAUAGUUCGGUUUGCUUGUUUAUUUAAGUACAGACGCGACUGCGAAGAGUCGGGGCAAAACGGCAGCGCAGCUGCGCGGGAGUCGUUCUGAAAAUAGAGCGUACGGAGCUGCGCCUCUUAGGGCUGAGACUGCGCCGUGUGCUGAGCUGCACCCGGGGAGGAGGGAGCCAGCCGGCGGCCCAGCUCUAUGCUCUUCAUUUUGCUCUGCAGAAACAGCUCUAGGUUUGGCCAGGAGCAGGAAAGGAAUGCGUUUAUCCUGCGCUGGGCUGCGCGUAAAGUGGGCGCUGUGGGAUGCCGUGUUUCUGCGCCUCGGCUCCUUCUUCUCUGGAAAGAGUAGCAAAGAUCUGACUGUAAAAGCAGGUUUGCAGGCAGACAGGAAGGACUGCCCCUGAGAAGUAAAGGGGCUUUUAUUUCCAGGAGCACAUUGGGCCCAGAGAGAGGAGGAUGAAAGGGUGCAGUCCCUGGCUUGAUGUGAUGAUGGUGGCUUGAAGGUUUUUCUAUCAGAUGUGAACCAAAGCCGGUUGAGACAGGGAACAAACAUCUUCCCUUGUGAGUGCUGGUGAGAAUGCCUGUGCCAUGUCAUCCUCAACACCUGAACAAUCUUCAUUCCUUACCCUCUGAAAAACAUUGUAAGCGUCCAGAUUAAACCAGCAAAUAAAUAAUCUAUUCUGCUUUGCAGAAAGGAUCUUUCAGCAGCUGACUACUAACAGAGCUGCUUUUCUGGGCCGCUUUCUAGUUGUGCUGUCAUAAGCUCACAAGUCUGUUUCUCUCACAGUUUUGUAGCAAAUGCCAUUAGAUAGUACAGCAUGAGGAAAAAAACAAAUCAGAGUGUUUUUUAAAUACAGACAUGAAAAUGCAACAGCCAUUGGAGUUCAUCUCUUUUUAUUUUGCUCAGAGUCUGUUCCACUGCCCUGCAGUGCUCAUGGAUUUUUUCUGUAUAUUCACAAAGGAAAACUUUAUUGUAAGGACAAUUCCAGAGUACUGUAGAAAUAUGACUAUUCUUCCCAGGUUUUGUUUGAUUUUAUGAAAACAAAUCAAGAUAAAAAUAGUUGUUAUAGAACAAAAUAAGCACAGCUCACGCUUGGUAUCAAAAUCUG
ensembl:lncRNA